rnacentral:rRNA from 1 species
AUUGAACGCUGGCGGCAUGCCUCACACAUGCAAGUCGAACGGUAACAGGUCUUCGGAUGCUGACGAGUGGCGAACGGGUGAGUAAUACAUCGGAACGUGCCUAGUAGUGGGGGACAACUACUCGAAAGAGUGGCUAAUACCGCAUGAGAUCUACGGAUGAAAGCAGGGGAUCGCAAGACCUUGUGCUACUAGAGCGGCCGAUGGCAGAUUAGGUAGUUGGUGGGAUAAGAGCUUACCAAGCCGACGAUCUGUAGCUGGUCUGAGAGGACGAUCAGCCACACUGGGACUGAGACACGGCCCAGACUCCUACGGGAGGCAGCAGUGGGGAAUUUUGGACAAUGGGCGCAAGCCUGAUCCAGCAACGCCGCGUGCAGGAUGAAGGCCUUCGGGUUGUAAACUGCUUUUGUACGGAACGAAAAGCCCCGGGUUAAUACCCUGGGGUCAUGACGGUACCGUAAGAAUAAGCACCGGCUAACUACGUGCCAGCCGCCGCAGUAA